rnacentral:rRNA from 1 species
AUUGAACGCUGGCGGCAUGCCUUACACAUGCAAGUCGAACGGUAACAGGUCUUCGGAUGCUGACGAGUGGCGAACGGGUGAGUAAUACAUCGGAACGUGCCUAGUAGUGGGGGGUAACUACUCGAAAGAGUGGCUGAUACCGCAUGAGAUCUACGGAUGAAAGCAGGGGAUCGCAAGACCUUGAGCUACUAGAGCGGCCGAUGGCAGAUUAGGUAGUUGGUGGGAUAAAAGCUUACCAAGCCGACGAUAAGUAGCUGGUCUGAGAGGACGAUCAGCACCACUGGGACUGAGACACGGCCCAGACUCCUACGGGAGGCAGCAGUGGGGAAUUUUGGACAAUGGGCGAAAGCCUGAUCCAGCAAUGCCGCGUGCAGGAUGAAGGCCUUCGGGUUGUAAACUGCUUUUGUACGGAACGAAAAGCCCUGGGUUAAUACCCUGGGGUCAUGACGGUACCGUAAGAAUAAGCACCGGCUAACUACGUGCCAGCAGCCGCGGUAA